rnacentral:rRNA from 1 species
GAUGAACGCUGGCGGCGUGCCUAAUACAUGCAAGUCGAGCGAACGGGCGAGAAGCUUGCUUCUCUGAUGUUAGCGGCGGACGGGUGAGUAACACGUGGAUAACCUACCUAUAAGACUGGGAUAACUUCGGGAAACCGGAGCUAAUACCGGAUAAUAUUUUGAACCGCAUGGUUCAAAAGUGAAAGACGGUCUUGCUGUCACUUAUAGAUGGAUCCGCGCUGCAUUAGCUAGUUGGUAAGGUAACGGCUUACCAAGGCAACGAUGCAUAGCCGACCUGAGAGGGUGAUCGGCCACACUGGGACUGAGACACGGUCCAGAAUACUAAGGGAGGCAGCAGUAGGGAAUCUUCCGCAAUGGGCGGAAGCCUGACGGAGCAACGCCGCGUGAGUGAUGAAGGUCUUCGGAUCGUAAAACUCUGUUAAUAGGGAAGAACAUAUGUGUAAGUAACUGUGCACAUCUUGACGGUAACUUAUCAGAAAGCCACGGCUAACUACGUG